CACACCGACUGUUUACACACGCACGAGAAACGCUAACUGAGAGCGAGAGAGAGAACAGAUUCAAGAAGCAAGAUCGGAAGAAGAACGAAAAUCGGAACUGAGGAAACGCAAGGUAAAUCCGAUCUCACUCUCUGUAAGUAUGUAUUACUUGUUUAUUCGAUGUUGUUGGGAGCGAGAUUGGUGAGAUGAGAGUGCUGGGAUUGCUCGGGUUUUAUGGAGCGAUGUACUCUGUUAUUUGUGCGUGUAUGGUUUAUGUUUUCUGAUCUUGAUGUAAUGUUCUUGAGUGUUGUAAGAUCUUGUGAGAGGUUCUUGUAUCUCUCGUUAUAAUCGUUUCUGUAAAUAUGUUCAUGCAUGUUAUAGUGGAUUGACUAGGGUGAAUCCUUGCCGUGAGUAGGAUCUUCUGAUCCGAACACGUAAAUGCCUUGUCCGAUUUCUGUUUCGUUGUGUUGUGUAUGUUGAGUUCAUUUUCGUAUCUUUGAUUUGUUCGGAUUUCUUGGAUCGUUGGUACUGCUGUGGUUGUUUGGUCGUGUGAUUUAUUUCACAGGGAUUCUUAACAAGUGGUAUCAGAGCCACUCGAGGGCGAACCAAGAUCGCGUACUGCAAGAUCCAGUCGGAAGGCGAUCGGAAUAACGGAAGGACAGAUGCAAGACGACCAGAGCGAACGAAGAAGACCGCAAGGUGAUUCCAAUCUCGACUCACUGUAAGUGUGAAUCACUGGGGUUUUGUGAGAGAGAUUGAAAGGUAAGAGUGUAAGUGUGAAUCACUGGGGUUUUGUGGAGUUGCUCGGGAUGUGUUUGAGCGAUUGUACUCUGUGUUGGUCUCUGUUUCCGGUCUCUGAUUUGUUUGUGGUCGUGAGGACUUUGUGCGUAUUUUAUUCUUUGAUUUUCCCCUAAUCGUUGCUGUGUUCUUGAGCUUUGUAUCAAAACCAAAGGUAGUGGACUUGCUUGGGGAAGAUCGAAGGUCGCUGCCAGUUCCUGUUACGAACAAAGAAAUCGGUCGUUGUCUCUCUUUGGAGCGUCGUAAUCAUAUCUUUGUACUGUUCUUGAGAGAGGCCGUGUAUUCUUGCGUGUGAUCGUUUGGAUUUCUGUUGACUUUCAAGGUAUUGUGUUCGUUUCAUUUUCGAUUCAUAUUCUGUUCACAUGCUUGUAUCCUGUUGGUUUGUUUGUGGUGUUUGCGUUGGCUGUGGCUUCUUGCAGUUGAUUUCUUGCUGUUUUUGAAUUUUUUUUUUAAAUCAAAAUCAAGAUAGGAUUUGGAGAGAUAGCUAUUGUUUUGUAAUUUCUGAAUUGGAUUAUCUAUCUCGCUGUUGUUUCCAUUUACUGUAGCAUUUCCGUUUACUUUCUGUUGUAAGUGUAUAUCACUUGAUUGUGUCAGAAAGAUUGGUAAGGUUGAUUGCAUGUUAUUGGUCAGUGCACUUGGAGCGUUGCAAUCCGAUCCUUGUACUGUUCUUGGGGCUGUGUUCCUGUGUAUUUCCACUGUUGAUUUUGCCUUUGCUGAUUGGCUUUUCAUGUUCUGUCCAUGCACUUUGUACGUUGUUCAUCUUGUGUUGUUCUUGUUCCAUUUUUUCUUUUUAAAUUCUGUGUUGCUGCUGUGACUUUGUUUUCCUUGCAAGAACCAAACCAAAGAUGGCACCUAUGAAAAUGGAACUCGAAAAGUUUGAUGGCCAUGGGGAUUUCCACAUGUGGUAGAAAAAGAUGAAGGCUGUGUUGGUCCAACACAAAUGCGCGAAGGCCUUGACAAAACAGACAGAAGGUAAGAAAGAAAAGGAGACACUGGGGGGAAUGAUUGAUCAAGAGAGGCAAGAAAUGGAUGAGUUGGCUUCUAGUCUGCUCAUCCUUAAUCUCUCCGACAAUGUCCUAAGGUAGGUAAACGAUGAGGAAACCGUUGCAAAGGUAUGGAGUAAACUAGAGUCUUUAUAUUUAGUUAGGUCUUUGUCUAAUAAGAUUUAUCUAAAAGAAAAGAUCUUUAGUUAAUUUUAAGAUGGACCCUUCAAAAACCUUAGAAAAAAAUCUAGAUGAUUUCAAAGUUAUCACUAUAGGCCUACCAAACAUAGAUGAAAAGAUUUCUAAACUAGGCUAUUAUUCUCUUGAAUUCCCUACCAGAGUCGUAUAGGGAUUUGAAGAAUGCAAUAAAGUAUGGAAGGGAAUCCGUCUCCUUAGAAGAUGUCUUGUUAGCCUUAAGGUCGAGAUCUUGAAACUAAGAAAUAACAAAAAUCUAGUUUUUGUUGAAGGUCUAUAUGUUAAAGAUAAGUCUAAUUAGAAAUUUCAUUCUAGAGGUAAGGGUGAGUCUAAAUCUUAGUCUAAGGGUAAAGAGAAUUCAAAACUUGUGAUCUGUUGGCUUUGUAAGAAAGAAGGUCAUCUUAGGAGAAAUUGUCCUUCGAGGCAGAAAGAGUAUAGACAAGAAAAUGCAAAUCUCUCAGAUGGAUACGAGAGUGAAGAAGGGUUAAGCAUUUAGAAGUCUUGUCAUGAUAGAUUGGGGUGCAUAGGCUUGAGAGGAUUGUAAGAGUUAAGCGAGUUAGGCUUGUGGAUUCAAAAUAGAUUGGUAAUCUAGAGUCUUGUGAAUCCUACGUUAUAAGUAAAUCUCAUGGAUGGUUGUGUUAUGGGUGAAAAUCCCAUAUGUUGUAGUUUGCUUACCAUGUCUGUAGGGUGCUUCCCAUGUUCUUUACUUUUCUUUCUAGGGCCCAGUGUUCUAAAAGGCAUUAGGUGCCAGGCCCCAGCCUAGUGCUUAGGCGGGGCUUAGAAAAAUUAUUAUUUUUUUAUUUUUUAAUUUUGUGAUGUAAUUUGAUGUUAUUUUUAAUUAAAUCAAAAUUGAAAAGCAUCAAUAAUGCAACAUAAACUAAUAAUACAAUAAAAAAAAUAAAUAAGUGAAUAACAAAUAACAUUAAUUAAUAAUAAUAAUAAUAAGUUAAUAACAAAUAAUCAAAGUUAAAACAUUAAUCAUAAUAAUUAAUAAAUAUUCAAAUAAGUGAAUAACAAAUAAUCAAAUAUUAAUAUAAAUCCUAAAUUAAAUAAUAAAAAAACAAAAGAAAAACAAAACAGGCAACAUGCAACAGCAAGCAGCAAUAACGGAGGCGACUCUGCAAUUGGUGUGCGAGCACGAGAGAAAAGGGGAAAUCGGUGGCGGUGCGCGAGCACGAGAGAGGCGACUCUGCAACUACAAGAAUCGGAGGUGACUUUGCAACUACAAGAGACAGUGGCGGCGUGCGAGCACAAGAGCGGCGACGGCGACUCUGUAAUAGACUGUCGGUGGCGGUGCGUGGGAGAAAGAAGGGGAAAUCGAUGAGAGAGAAGGGGUAAUGGGUAAGGGGAAACAAAAAUCUUAAUAAAUCUAUGCUAAAUCGAUUCAUGUGGUCUAGGCGAUCGAUUAGACCAUAAUUGGUCAGGCGGUUCACGCGGCUAGGCGUCCGCCCUGACUACCUAGGCGCUGUCUGGUACCGAUUAGCCGGGCUAGCGCCUAAGGUGGCCGAUUUGGCCAUAAUCGCGGCGGCCAGCAGUCACCUAGUGCCUAGGCAACUGCCCAGGCCACGUUUUGAUGGGUGGAUAUUCUGAAAAGAUUUGUGGUAUUCUUCCUUGGGCAUAAAAGUGAAUCUUUUGAGAAGUUUAAAGAGUGAAAAAUCUUAGUUGAAUAUCAAAUAAAGAAGAUGAUUAAGUUUGAAAAAUUGAUAGUUGGCCUAGAAAUAAAUGUCUAAUCUCAUAGGAUUAGUCAAGUUUAAAUAAACUGAUGAUGAUGAUGAUGUUUAGUUUAAGGUGGAAUUUAGGAAAUGCUAUGUUUGGUGAUAGCCCUAGUGUCAGCCUUGAUUAUAGAAGGCAUGAAUAGAAGCCCUAGUUGGACAAGAAGAGAACUCAUGCAAGCAGAAGCAAUCUGGAAAUUUGGUUUGUGUCUUUCACUAUUAACUCAAGGGGUUUGAGUGUGAGAGAUGUUUAGAAGAUUGGUUGUGAGAGUGCUUUAAUCGCUGGUUUGACUUAGCAUUGUAUUCUCGGUUUGUAUUAUUUUCUUGAUCUUGUUGCCUUUAGUGGUUUGUAUUAGUUAGAGUUUGUAUGGGUUAAUAAGUUUGAGCAAAGCAAUAAAAUUUUGCUCAUUGUGCUCUUGAUGUAAUUAGGAGAGUUGUAGGGUCUCUAGUCAAAUCCAUUGUCAAUCCAUUCUUAAGUCAAGGUGGAAUUUGUUAUGUGUGACUCAAAAUGAAUUGGGUUAAAUAAUUAAUUGUAUUGGGUUCGAGCCAUUGGUGUAUGCAGCCCACUUAGCCCAUGCAUUUUAUCUUUCUUGUUAAUCCCAGUCGUGUUCCUUAGCCCACACACAUAUAUAUAUAUAUGUAGAUGAAAUUGAGGAAAUUAGAAGAAGCUUCACUUUAGUACACCCUAAUUGAGAGCGAGAGAGACAGAGAGAGAACAAGAGAACAAAUCCAAGAAGCAAGAUCAGAAGAAGAACAAAGAUUGAAAUUGAGGAAACGCAAGAAGAUAAAUCCGAUCUCACUCUCUAUAAGUAUAUAUUACUUGUUUAUUCAAUAUUGUUGGGAGAGAGAUUGAUGAGAUGAGAGUGCUGGGAUUGCUCGAGUUUUAUGGAGCAAUGUACUCUGUUAUCUGCGUUUGUAUGGUUUAUGUUUUAUGAUCUUGAUGUAAUAUUCUUGAGUGUUGUAAGAUUUUGUGAGAGGUUUUGUAUCUCUCGUAAUCAUUUUUGUAAAUAUAUUCAUACAUAUUAUAGUGGAUUGAUUAGGGUGGAGUCUUGUCA